UACGUAGGGUGCGAGCGUUAAUCGGAAUUACUGGGCGUAAAGCGUGCGCAGGCGGUUCGUUGAGUCGGAGGUGAAAUCCCCGGGCUUAACCUGGGAACUGCAUUUGUGACUGCAUAGCUAGAGUACGGUAGAGGGGGAUGGAAUUCCGCGUGUAGCAGUGAAAUGCGUAGAUAUGCGGAGGAACACCGAUGGCGAAGGCAAUCCCCUGGACCUGUACUGACGCUCAUGCACGAAAGCGUGGGGAGCAAACAGG
rnacentral:rRNA from 1 species